rnacentral:rRNA from 1 species
GAUGAACGCUAGCGGGAGGCCUAACACAUGCAAGCCGAGCGGUAGAGAUUCUUCGGAAUCUUGAGAGCGGCGUACGGGUGCGGAACACGUGUGCAACCUACCUUUAUCUGGAGGAUAGCCUUUCGGAAGGAAGAUUAAUACUCCAUAAUAUAUUGAUUGGCAUCAAUUGAUAUUGAAAGCUCCGGCGGAUAGAGAUGGGCACGCGCAAGAUUAGUUAGUAGGUGAGGUAACGGCUCACCAAGACGAUGAUCUUUAGGGGGCCUGAGAGGGUGAUCCCCCACACUGGUACUGAGACACGGACCAGACUCCUACGGGAGGCAGCAGUGAGGAAUAUUGGUCAAUGGGUGCAAGCCUGAACCAGCCAUCCCGCGUGAAGGACGACUGCCCUAUGGGUUGUAAACUUCUUUUGUAUAGGGAUAAACCUACCCUCGUGAGGGUAGCUGAAGGUACUAUACGAAUAAGCACCGGCUAACUCCGUGCCAGCAGCCGCGGUAAU